rnacentral:rRNA from 1 species
CAGUAGCCACGGUAAGACAGAGGAUGCAAGCGUUGUCCGGAAUUAUUGGGCGUAAAGGGCUCGCAGGCGGUUUCUUAAGUCUGAUGUGAAAGCCCCCGGCUCAACCGGGGAGGGUCAUUGGAAACUGGGAAACUUGAGUGCAGAAGAGGAGAGUGGAAUUCCACGUGUAGCGGUGAAAUGCGUAGAGAUGUGGAGGAACACCAGUGGCGAAGGCGACUCUCUGGUCUGUAACUGACGCUGAGGAGCGAAAGCGUGGGGAGCGAACAGGAUUAGAUACCCCUGUAGUCCCUGUCUCUUAUAA